rnacentral:rRNA from 1 species
AGAGUUUGAUCAUGGCUCAGGAUGAACGCUAGCGGCAGGCCUAAUACAUGCAAGUCGAACGGUAACAUGAGAGCUUGCUCUUGAUGACGAGUGGCGCACGGGUGCGUAACGCGUAUGCAACCUACCCUUUACUGGGGGAUAGCCCGGAGAAAUCCGGAUUAAUACCCCAUGGUAUCCCGACCUCACAUGGGCGUCGGGAUUAAAGAUUUAUUGGUAAAGGAUGGGCAUGCGUGACAUUAGUUAGUUGGUAAGGUAACGGCUUACCAAGACGAUGAUGUCUAGGGGUUCUGAGAGGAAGGUCCCCCACACUGGUACUGAGACACGGACCAGACUCCUACGGGAGGCAGCAGUAGGGAAUAUUGGGCAAUGGAGGCAACUCUGACCCAGCCAUGCCGCGUGCAGGAAGACAGCUUUCUGAGUUGUAAACUGCUUUUAUAUAGGAACAAAGAGGCCAUGCGUGGCAAGUUGCGUGUACUAUAUGAAUAAGCACCGGCUAACUCCGUGCCAGCAGCCGCGGUAAUACGGAGGGU